UGCCACCCAGGCUUCUGCGACCAUGAAUGGGUCUUUCAUGUCCUGGACCGGGGCAAGGUCAGGCCGGGCCUCUCCCUCCUCCCGCCCAGGGCUCCUGGCUGUCUGAGCCCUGACCUGGAGGACAGUGGCAGGAUGGGCCAGGGAGGCCCAGGGAGGGGCAGGGCAUCGCCCGAGGUCACCAGAGCCAGCAGCGCCCUCCCAGCCGUGGGAUUCUGAGCAAAGCCCCGCCCCGCUGGGCCUCAGUUUCCCCGGCCUGGGCGGGCGCGUUGGCAGCGCAGCGCUCCCGUCCUGCUCCGACCGGGUGGAUUCCAGUGCGGGUUUUGCGGGCGCCCGCGGCCACCGACACCUUCUUCCCAGUGCGGCCCGGGCUGCGGCCCCGGGUCCGAGGAGGCCCGGGGAGACCCGGAGGAGGUGGAAACUGAGACCCAGAGAGCCGUGACUUGACUGAUCCCACAGCCAGGAAAUGGUGGAGCCUGGAUUUGAACCCCAGCUUUUAAGAAGAAGGUGCCACUGUCCUGGAAGAACUCUCAGGACAGCAUUAGUGUCUCAGGGAUCCCCCUAAUCGGAGGGGCCUUAAGCCUAAUCAUGAUUGUCACUGAAGAUCCAGGAGGGCUUCCUGGAGGAGGAGGCAGCUCCAUUCUGAAAUGCCAAGGGUACAGCUUUAUUGGGACAGCCAGUGUCUCUGAAUAUGUAGGUUUUGCACAGAGCUUGUACUGCCCCAGGGCCUGUACACUGCCUGUCCCCUCUGCCUUGUGCACUCUUUCCCUAGAUGUCCAAAUGGCUCCUUUCCUCACCUACCCCAAAUCUCAAUUCCAGUGUUUCCCCAGCCUCCCCUCAUUUCAGUAAUCACUCUGCAGUGAGCUAGGAUUGCGCCACUGCACUCCAGCUUGGAUAAGAGAACAAGACCCUGUCUCUUAA
rnacentral:lncRNA from 1 species